rnacentral:rRNA from 1 species
GCGCAGCAGGCGAGAAACCUCCGCAAUACACGAAGUGUGACAGGGCCAUCCCGAGUGCCGUCCGCUGAGGACGGCUUUUCCCCAGUGUACAUAGCUGGGGGAAUAGGGAGAGGGCAAGCCUGGUGUCAGCCGCCGCGGUAAUACCAGCUCUCCGAGUGGUGGGGACGCUUUAUUGGGCCUAGAGCACUCCGUACGGCCGGCGUGGGACAA